GGGCGGUUAACUCAGUGGUAGAGUGCCAUCCUCACACGGUGGAAGUCACUGGUUCAAAUCCAGUACCGCCUACCA
rnacentral:tRNA from 2 species